AAAGAGUCUUUAAAAACAACUCUUGGCAAUGGAUCUCUUGGUUCUCGCAUCGAUGAAGAGCGUAGCAAAGUGCGAUAAUUAUUGCGACUUGCAUUCAUAGUGAAUCAUCGAGUUCUUGAACGCAUCUUGCGCCUAGUAGUCAAUCUACUAGGCACAGUUGUUUCAGUAUCUGCAUCCACCAAUCAACUUAACCUUUUGUGUUGAGUUGGAACUGGGCUUCUAGUUGAUGGCAUUUAGUUGCUGUCAUGGCCUUAAAUCAAUGUCCUAGGUGUUAGAACAUCUAACACCGGAUGGAAACUUUAGAGCGCUUUAAGAGCAGCUUGGUUAGUGAGUUCAAUAAUUCCAAGCAUUAAGUCUUUUAAUGAACUAGCUUUUCUAUCUAUGGGACACUACUUGGAGAAAUCCAAGUAACCUUUAAACUCACAUUUAGAUCUGAAAUCAACUGAGA
rnacentral:rRNA from 1 species